CAGAACUUUUAACUGAAACCAUGAUGUUAUGUCGGUACAGGACACUCUAAGGAAAAGGACAGGAUACCAUGCUCUAAAGAUCUUGAAGGCUGUUAGAUAAUCUGGUGCGCUGAACUGGCUUCCUCAUUCUCUGAAGCAGACAACAAAACAAGGCUCUCUCUACAAACGACUCUGUCCCGAGGUGCUUGCAGCACACCCGCAGAGCAGUAGGGUCUUUGGCAGGAGUUAUUAAUGCUAGGUGAGCCUUCACUGAGUACAGUCACAUCCCUCCUACAGGAGCUCAAAACACAGUGAUAUGGCCUGAAGAAUCUCCUGAACCUUCUAAAUCACUGGAUUCAAGUUCCCAGAUCUUGCAAAGGACCAUGAAAGAGUGAAACCAGUCAGUCCAGUCAGCCUUACCAACUAAGGUGUUCCCAACACUCAAACAAUGCAACACGUUGCAGAAUUCAGAAGAGAGCUUCACAGAUGACCCAGUUCUCAGCUUACUUUUCUGAUCAUCUCAUCCAGAUCUCCAUUCAGCAAGCCUGCAACACACUCUUAAAGAUCAAUCCACUCAAAAGCCCCUGUUGUAAGCCUGAAGACCAUGUACUUGCUAACUCCAGCUCUUGGUGACAAUCCUGUCCCUUACUGAAGGGGAUGUGACUAGUCUCAAAAACUUCAGAUGAGAGGAGACAAUCAAAUGUUUGAUUACAUGCAGAGACCUCUCACCGCCUGCACGCCACAAGAUCUUUUUGGCUAACGAUGGUUGCUGGAUUCCCAUGUAUAGCUCUGUGUUCUCAGCACCCACACUAACCGUUAUGGAGCAGAAAACUCCACUUCUUGGCACACCACAUUUGAACUGUUCUGAAGCUCAAGGGUAGGGCAGUGUCUGGUGUGAAGGAUCUUCAUACUUCUUGGUAAAGAAUGCUCCCCACAUCCUGGUUACUCAGCCCUCACUUAAUCAUUUAGGAAGUUACAAAAGUAAAAGGAUGGUUUUUUUUUUAUAAAUAAAAUUUGCAAUGAUAUGAAAUUUGUAACAAUCAAGCAAACAUGGUAAACCUUACUUUCAAGUUUAUUAGCAAUUAAGAUUCACUUUACAAUCCCAUUGCUCCCCAAAUUGCCUUUUGCUAAAUCAGUCAGCCUACUGCUUUGUUUAAAGAUGCACUACAAGAUACUUUAUCCUUCCAUGUAACUAUUUCCCAGCUGCUGUUUAUGGUGACCCCAUUAAAUUGAAAGUUGAACAACUAUUUUCAGCAACAGUCGUAGUAUGUUUCAAUUUUGAACAGCUGGAUAUCUUUUAAGAAAAUAGAAAUUUGUUUGGAAGGGUACAAAAAAAAAAGUCAGAUUGGAAAGAGUAUAAUUUCAUAGACAAUCUGUGCAUUGCUUUAUCCUAGCUCUCUACUAAUAUGCUCCACGUACGUUAAAGACUAUAUUCAUUUGAAAACUCAGAGCAUCCCUUCUUAGCUGUCAUAUUAAAUUCCAUUAUUAUUUCUUCCCAAAAUACAAACACCAAAAUGGCAAUGUUUUCCCCUGCUUUUUCUUUUUUCUUUUUUUUUUAAGAGUAUAAGUAGCAAUGAAUGAAGUGACUGGUUCCAACAACUUUAAUAAUUUCUGUACAUUUCAGAACAUUGAGAAAAGGAGGACCAAAAUAGCAACAAAAGAACACAUGCAAGCUUCAUUGCAUCCUCUCUGUGCAGUUGCUAUGCAGCAAUUGCCUUCCUACAAAGAACUUUGGCUUUUUUGCUUACUAACAUUUCGUCAUUCAAGUAGAUACAGUACGUUCAGAUCCAAAACAAUUUAAAAGAAGUCUUUGCACUGAAAGCUGUCUAAGAUAACUACUAAUUAGAACAUACAUGCCCUCUGACUUGCUUAUUUAGGAACAUUAUUAGCCAUAGGACAGAAUGCACAACUUAAAUAAGCAGCCAAUACUACCACAAAAAAGUGACGAGCAAAAUCCUCUCUUCACCCUCAUGCA